CACGUAGGGAGCAAGCGUUGUCCGGAUUUAUUGGGCCUAAAGCAUCCGUAGCCUGUUCUGUAAGUUUUCGGUUAAAUCUAUGCGCUCAACGUAUAGGCUGCCGAAAAUACUGCAGAACCAGGGAGUGGGAGAGGCAGACGGUACUCGGUAGGAAGGGGUAAAAUCCUUUGAUCUAUUGAUGACCACCUGUGGCGAAGGCGGUCUACCAGAACACGUUCGACGGUGAGGGAUGAAAGCUGGGGGAGCAAACCGG
rnacentral:rRNA from 1 species